CCUACGGGAUGCAGCAGUGGGGAAUAUUGGACAAUGGGCGAAAGCCUAAUCCAGCAAUGCCGCGUGUGUGAAGAAGGUCUUCGGAUUGUAGAGCACUUUCGACGGGGACGAUGAUGACGGUACCCGUAGAAGAAGCCCCGGCUAACGUCGUGCCAGCAGCCGCGGUAAUACGAAGGGGGCUAGCGUUGCUCGGAAUGACUGGGCGUAAAGGGCGCGUAGGCGGUUUAUGCAGUCAGAUGUGAAAUCCCCGGGCUUAACCUGGGAACUGCAUUUGAGACGCAUAGACUAGCGGUCGAGAGAGGGUUGUGGAAUUCCCAGUGUGGAGGUGAAAUUCGUAGAUGUUGGGAAGAACACCGGUGGCGAAGGCGGCAACCUGGCUCGAUACUGACGCUGAGGCGCGAAAGCGUGGGGAGCAAACAGGAUUAGAUACCCGAGUAGUC
rnacentral:rRNA from 1 species